GUGCUCGCUUCGGCAGCACAUCUACUAAAAUUGGAACGAUAGAGAGGAUUAACAUGGCCCCUGCGCAAGGAUGACAUGCAAAGUCGUGAAGCGUUCCACAUUAAA
rnacentral:snRNA from 1 species